rnacentral:sRNA from 1 species
UACUAGCCCUGAUGGGAGUGGCAUCUUUUAUGAGGCACAGGCAGUAAAAACCUGUGAGUCAUAAAAAUAAAACGGACGGCAGGAACAUGG